AUGAAGCCUAGCUUGCUAGGUGGAUUAGUGGCGAACGGGUGAGUAAUACGUGAGUGACCUACCUUUGACUCUGGGAUAAGCCUGGGAAACUGGGUCUAAUACCGGAUACGACCAAUCUCCGCAUGGGGUGUUGGUGGAAAGCGUUAUGUAGUGGUUAUAGAUGGGCUCACGGCCUAUCAGCUUGUUGGUGAGGUAACGGCUCACCAAGGCGACGACGGGUAGCCGGCCUGAGAGGGUGACCGGCCACACUGGGACUGAGACACGGCCCAGACUCC
rnacentral:rRNA from 1 species